rnacentral:rRNA from 1 species
GACGAACGCUGGCGGCGUGCUUAACACAUGCAAGUCGAACGGAAAGGCCCUGCUUUUGUGGGGUGCUCGAGUGGCGAACGGGUGAGUAACACGUGAGUAACCUGCCCUUGACUUUGGGAUAACUUCAGGAAACUGGGGCUAAUACCGGAUAGGAGCUCCUGCUGCAUGGUGGGGGGUGGAAAGUUUCGGCGGUUGGGGAUGGACUCGCGGCUUAUCAGCUUGUUGGUGGGGUAGUGGCUUACCAAGGCUUUGACGGGUAGCCGGCCUGAGAGGGUGACCGGCCAAAUUGGGACUGAGAUACGGCCCAGACUCCUACGGGAGGCAGCAGUGGGGAAUAUUGCACAAUGGGCGGAAGCCUGAUGCAGCAACGCCGCGUGCGGGAUGACGGCCUUCGGGUUGUAAACCGCUUUCGCCUGUGACGAAGCGUGAGUGACGGUAAUGGGUAAAGAAGCACCGGCUAACUACGUG